rnacentral:rRNA from 1 species
UAAUGAAUCAAAACUUUCAACAACGGAUCUCUUGGUUCUGGCAUCGAUGAAGAACGCAGCGAAAUACGGAUAAGUAA